UAAAUAUAUACACGGUAAAACUAAUGUCCUAAAUGCCUAGUUUUGUGUACACUUAACCUACACAAGGCCUACAUUGACUAUCGACUGUGUGUAGACAAAACAUGAUUUAAACUACAUGUAAACAUUGAGUUUAAUCAAUGGGAACGCAAUUGUGUUUAGUUUACGUGUGAGUUACACUAACACAACACCAAAUUUAGGUCAAUGUGACAUUAACAUGAUUAAGACAGAUUUAGGCCGUCUAAAUCUGUCUUAAUCAUGUUAAUGUAUUACCAAAGACU
rnacentral:lncRNA from 1 species